rnacentral:rRNA from 1 species
GCUAAUACAGCAUAAUCUCUGAGGAGGAAAGGCGGGGAUCACGCAAGUGACCUGUCGCUGAAAGAGCGGCCGAUGGUCGAUUAGCUAGUUGGCGGGGUAAAAGCCCACCAAGGCGAUGAUCGAUAGCGGGUCUGAGAGGACGAUCCGUCACACUGGGACUGAGACACGGCCCAGACUCCUACGGGAGGCAGCAGUGGGGAAUUUUGGACAAUGGGCGAAAGCCUGAUCCAGCCAUGCCGCGUGAGUGAAGAAGGCCUUCGGGUUGUAAAGCUCUUUCAGUCGGAAAGAAACGAUUGCAACUAAUAAUUGUAAUUAAUGACGGUACCGACAGAAGAAGCACCGGCUAACUACGUGCCAGCAGCCGCGGUAAUACGUAGGGUGCGAGCGUUAAUCGGAAUUACUGGGCGUAAAGGGUGCGCAGGCGGUUUUGUAAGUCAGACGUGAAAUCCCCGGGCUUAACCUGGGAAUGGCGUUUGAAACUA